GGCGCCGCAGGAGUUGUCCCUCCUCAAUGCGGGCCCUUUUAGGAGAAGCCAGCGCCUUCCCCUUUAAUUAAGGGGAAGGCUGGAAGGCUGGAUCGGACCUGCGGCGGCGGGGGAACGCCCCCUCCCCCCCAUGGCCGGCAGCUGUCGGCCGCAGUCAGGCGCAUCUGCACCAAGGAGCCAGCAAAAGAGAAUGAACUGAGUUGCUCUUGGGGUGCAAAUGGAGAAGAGAAAAGAAGUGGCUGACAGACAGGAAAAAACAACUAUAUCCAUAAGAGCCACUCUCCACACCCCUCUGCGGCAAUCGGUCAGACGUCUUCAUGCCAACCUUGGCCUAAAGUGUUUUGCAAGAACAGGAGGAGGUCCGAUGACAGAAACUUUGGCAUAAAUAGAAUUUUCCCAAACGUGCCUGUUCACAGACCCAGGUGAGAAGCCUGAUGAAAUACAAAUCCCUGGGGCCCAUCCCAGAACCUACUGAUUCAGAAUCAUUACAGAGAGGACCUGUAUUGUCAGCGAGUGGAUAAUGUGAUGUGCUUCCAGUGGGCCUAGGGGUUCCAGCCUGAGAGGAACCAUGUUCUCCCAGGCCAGGCCUUGUUCUUUUUGGCCUCUAACAAUCUAUGAUUGUGCAACUCUAUAAAAAGGUUUUGAGUUAAACACUUGAA